rnacentral:rRNA from 1 species
GAUGAACGCUGGCGGCGUGCCUAAUACAUGCAAGUCGGGCGAACGGACGAGAAGCUUGCUUCUCUGAUGUUAGCGGCGGACGGGUGAGUAACACGUGGAUAACCUACCUAUAAGACUGGGAUAACUUCGGGAAACCGGAGCUAAUACCGGAUAAUAUUUUGAACCGCAUGGUUCAAAAGUGAAAGACGGUCUUGCUGUCAUUUAUAGAUGGAUCCGCGCUGCAUUAGCUAGUUGGUAAGGUAACGGCUUACCAAGGCAACGAUGCAUAGCCGACCUGAGAGGGUGAUCGGCCACACUGGAACUGAGACACGGUCCAGACUCCUACGGGAGGCAGCAGUAGGGAAUCUUCCGCAAAGGGCGAAAGCCUGACGGAGCAACGCCGCGUGAGUGAUGAAGGUCUUCGGAUCGUAAAACUCUGUUAUUAGGGAAGAACAUAUGUGUAAGUAACUGUGCACAUCUUGACGGUACCUAAUCAGAAAGCCACGGCUAACUACGUG